rnacentral:misc_RNA from 1 species
GGGGGGGGGUAGGAUAACUCUUGUCAUGAACUUCUUCUGCCGUCCUCGACGAACAUGUUCUUUACAUUAAAAAAAACCUCACGCCAAGCGUAAUAUAAUACAGUUUCCAGCCAAGUUUUUCAACUGUAAAACUGUCUAGAUGUGUCUUGGUAGUUUAUCAUCCUUUGGUAUGGUAUGAGGUCAUCUGUAUCCUAUUCUGACAUCAUAUCAUCUUUUUGUCAUCGAUUCCAGCUAGCAGUCGGUCGUCUUCCAGAUGGGAUAACAUUAGAAAUAAUUUGUGAGAGAUCUCCUUACGGCAAUGUAGACUUUUCUUGAAUAUGACUGAUAUUUUCAUCUUGAUAUUUUAGAAAUAAAUAUAUUCAUGCAUAAUUUUUAAUGUAUCAUAUUCAAUUUGUUCGUGUUCAUGAAAAAAUGUGUAAGGAGUCGAAAUUAAAGCUUUAUAUAGUAGU